UUGGAGCAGAGUGCAGUUUGGAGAAGUGCCGUGGCUGGCUAGAAGACCAAGACCCUAGGAACUGGUUUCUUGCAGGCAGAUCCUCACAUCGGCACAAAGUCCCAUGGAAGUCAGUGGAGCUUGGUUCAAUCACAAGGGUCAGAUCCGAUUGCAGGAGUGGGGCCAUACAUAUCUGAUGGCAUAAUGACUCCCUUGUGAGGUGCCAUGUAUGUAAAAAUCCCCAUUUACGAUUCUUUCUUUCUUUCUUUCUUUCUUUCUUUCUUUCUUUCUUUCUUUCUUUCUUUCUUUCUUU